UACGAAGGGUGCAAACGUUACUCGGAAUUAUUGGGCGUAAAGCGCACGUAGGCGGCUCUAUAAGUCGGAUGUGAAAUCCCUCGGCUUAACCAAGGAAGUGCAUCCGAAACUGCAGAGCUUGAGUACUUAAGAGGAUCGCGGAAUUCCCGGUGUAGAGGUGAAAUUCGUAGAUAUCGGGAGGAACACCAGUGGCGAAGGCGGCGAGCUGGGAAGAUACUGACGCUGAGGUGCGAAAGCGUGGGGAGCAAACAGG
rnacentral:rRNA from 1 species